UCAUCGUCCUUAAUGUGACUCGGUUCCUU
rnacentral:sRNA from 1 species